GGUUAAGCGACUAAGCGUACACGGUGGAUGCCCUGGCAGUCAGAGGCGAUGAAGGACGUGCUAAUCUGCGAUAAGCGUCGGUAAGGUGAUAUGAACCGUUAUAACCGGCGAUUUCCGAAUGGGGAAACCCAGUGUGAUUCGUCACACUAUCAUUAACUGAAUCCAUAGGUUAAUGAGGCGAACCGGGGGAACUGAAACAUCUAAGUACCCCGAGGAAAAGAAAUCAACCGAGAUUCCCCCAGUAGCGGCGAGCGAACGGGGAGCAGCCCAGAGCCUGAAUCAGUGUGUGUGUUAGUGGAAGCGUCUGGAAAGGCGCGCGAUACAGGGUGACAGCCCCGUACACAAAAAUGCACAUACUGUGAGCUCGAUGAGUAGGGCGGGACACGUGGUAUCCUGUCUGAAUAUGGGGGGACCAUCCUCCAAGGCUAAAUACUCCUGACUGACCGAUAGUGAACCAGUACCGUGAGGGAAAGGCGAAAAGAACCCCGGCGAGGGGAGUGAAAAAGAACCUGAAACCGUGUACGUACAAGCAGUGGGAGCCUCUUAAUGGGGUGACUGCGUACCUUUUGUAUAAUGGGUCAGCGACUUAUAUUCUGUAGCAAGGUUAACCGAAUAGGGGAGCCGAAGGGAAACCGAGUCUUAACUGGGCGUUAAGUUGCAGGGUAUAGACCCGAAACCCGGUGAUCUAGCCAUGGGCAGGUUGAAGGUUGGGUAACACUAACUGGAGGACCGAACCGACUAAUGUUGAAAAAUUAGCGGAUGACUUGUGGCUGGGGGUGAAAGGCCAAUCAAACCGGGAGAUAGCUGGUUCUCCCCGAAAGCUAUUUAGGUAGCGCCUCGUGAAUUCAUCUCCGGGGGUAGAGCACUGUUUCGGCAAGGGGGUCAUCCCGACUUACCAACCCGAUGCAAACUGCGAAUACCGGAGAAUGUUAUCACGGGAGACACACGGCGGGUGCUAACGUCCGUCGUGAAGAGGGAAACAACCCAGACCGCCAGCUAAGGUCCCAAAGUCAUGGUUAAGUGGGAAACGAUGUGGGAAGGCCCAGACAGCCAGGAUGUUGGCUUAGAAGCAGCCAUCAUUUAAAGAAAGCGUAAUAGCUCACUGGUCGAGUCGGCCUGCGCGGAAGAUGUAACGGGGCUAAACCAUGCACCGAAGCUGCGGCAGCGACACUUAUGUGUUGUUGGGUAGGGGAGCGUUCUGUAAGCCUGUGAAGGUGUACUGUGAGGUAUGCUGGAGGUAUCAGAAGUGCGAAUGCUGACAUAAGUAACGAUAAAGCGGGUGAAAAGCCCGCUCGCCGGAAGACCAAGGGUUCCUGUCCAACGUUAAUCGGGGCAGGGUGAGUCGACCCCUAAGGCGAGGCCGAAAGGCGUAGUCGAUGGGAAACAGGUUAAUAUUCCUGUACUUGGUGUUACUGCGAAGGGGGGACGGAGAAGGCUAUGUUGGCCGGGCGACGGUUGUCCCGGUUUAAGCGUGUAGGCUGGUUUUCCAGGCAAAUCCGGAAAAUCAAGGCUGAGGCGUGAUGACGAGGCACUACGGUGCUGAAGCAACAAAUGCCCUGCUUCCAGGAAAAGCCUCUAAGCAUCAGGUAACAUCAAAUCGUACCCCAAACCGACACAGGUGGUCAGGUAGAGAAUACCAAGGCGCUUGAGAGAACUCGGGUGAAGGAACUAGGCAAAAUGGUGCCGUAACUUCGGGAGAAGGCACGCUGAUAUGUAGGUGAAGUCCCUCGCGGAUGGAGCUGAAAUCAGUCGAAGAUACCAGCUGGCUGCAACUGUUUAUUAAAAACACAGCACUGUGCAAACACGAAAGUGGACGUAUACGGUGUGACGCCUGCCCGGUGCCGGAAGGUUAAUUGAUGGGGUUAGCGGUAACGCGAAGCUCUUGAUCGAAGCCCCGGUAAACGGCGGCCGUAACUAUAACGGUCCUAAGGUAGCGAAAUUCCUUGUCGGGUAAGUUCCGACCUGCACGAAUGGCGUAAUGAUGGCCAGGCUGUCUCCACCCGAGACUCAGUGAAAUUGAACUCGCUGUGAAGAUGCAGUGUACCCGCGGCAAGACGGAAAGACCCCGUGAACCUUUACUAUAGCUUGACACUGAACAUUGAGCCUUGAUGUGUAGGAUAGGUGGGAGGCUUUGAAGUGUGGACGCCAGUCUGCAUGGAGCCGGCCUUGAAAUACCACCCUUUAAUGUUUGAUGUUCUAACGUUGGCCCCUGACCGGGGUUGCGGACAGUGUCUGGUGGGUAGUUUGACUGGGGCGGUCUCCUCCUAAAGAGUAACGGAGGAGCACGAAGGUUGGCUAAUCCUGGUCGGACAUCAGGAGGUUAGUGCAAUGGCAUAAGCCAGCUUGACUGCGAGCGUGACGGCGCGAGCAGGUGCGAAAGCAGGUCAUAGUGAUCCGGUGGUUCUGAAUGGAAGGGCCAUCGCUCAACGGAUAAAAGGUACUCCGGGGAUAACAGGCUGAUACCGCCCAAGAGUUCAUAUCGACGGCGGUGUUUGGCACCUCGAUGUCGGCUCAUCACAUCCUGGGGCUGAAGUAGGUCCCAAGGGUAUGGCUGUUCGCCAUUUAAAGUGGUACGCGAGCUGGGUUUAGAACGUCGUGAGACAGUUCGGUCCCUAUCUGCCGUGGGCGCUGGAGAACUGAGGGGGGCUGCUCCUAGUACGAGAGGACCGGAGUGGACGCAUCACUGGUGUUCGGGUUGUCAUGCCAAUGGCACUGCCCGGUAGCUAAAUGCGGAAGAGAUAAGUGCUGAAAGCAUCUAAGCACGAAACUUGCCCCGAGAUGAGUUCUCCCUGACUCCUUGAGAGUCCUGAAGGAACGUUGAAGACGACGACGUUGAUAGGCCGGGUGUGUAAGCGCAGCGAUGCGUUGAGCUAACCGGUACUAAUGAACCGUGAGGCUUAACCUU
rnacentral:rRNA from 1 species